AUGGCGAUGUCGCCACUGCCGUGCCUCGUCUUCGAGACGGCGACGAGCGGGGCACGAAGCUGUACGCUGCCGCCGACGGCGUGUACCGGCCAUCCAUCAGAAUAAAUCGGCCCGCUGCUAGCCAAGCGGAACUGGGUCACCGCGCAGGGCUGGGUGCUCGCCUGGGACCCGGACACCUACGCCACCUUCCUGUGGGACCCGCGGGAUCCGGAGCACGGCCGGGUCGCGCUGCCGUCGAUGGCGCAAGCUCCGCCCGAGGGCUCCGGCUGCGCGCUGUCAGGCGAUCCCACGGCUCCCGGCGGCUGCACGGUGGUCCUGGCCGAGCCAUAUGAGAGCACCGUUCUAUGGUAUUGCCACGUCGGUUCGCCGGCGCCGGAGUGGGUAAGGCACGAGUACGAUCUUGGGGGCAAGUUGGUGGUGCUCGGCGAGUAUCGGGAGUGGAUAAAAGAGCACGCCUACGGUCUGACGCCGUACGGUGGAAAGUUUUACUACACAAUCAACAGUACCAAGUAUGGUGUGCUGGGGUUCUCACCGGAGCCGACGUGGAGCACCGUGAAGACGAAGGGGGUCGAACUUACCUAUCAUCCAAGCGGGGAUGGAUGUGUGCAUUAUGAAAGCUUUCUCCUCGACCUGGACGGCAAGCUUCACACGGUGUGGAUCUUCUUUGCGGGCUUUGAUUUGCGCACUGUCAAUGAUGUUGCCAUCUAUAAGAUGGGUUUUGAUAGAUCAAGGUGUGUCAAGGUGAACAACAUCGGCGGCCGCGCAAUACUUGCGGGCUCGAGUCGUGCAUCGUGUUGUCCUGCCAACAAGUUUAGGCUGCGUCCCAACACCUUGUACUGGAUGAGCCCUCACGACAAAUGCUUACACAUGUACAACAUUGGGUCAAACAAGGAGGUGGUGCAGGAGUGCGAAGGUGCCACGGAGCUAUCGCGGCUGCCGUUUUGGUUGGUUCCCGUAAAUAGUCAAUGA
rnacentral:rRNA from 1 species